rnacentral:rRNA from 1 species
GCUUGUGGCCAUACCAUCCUGAACACGCCUGUUCAGGGUUGGGCCUGAUUGGUACCGGGACAGGAGACCACCUGGGAGUACCAGGUGCCGUAAAGA